rnacentral:rRNA from 1 species
UACGUAGGGUCCGAGCGUUGUCCGGAAUUACUGGGCGUAAAGAGCUCGUAGGUGGUUUGUCGCGUUGUUCGUGAAAACUCACAGCUCAACUGUGGGCGUGCGGGCGAUACGGGCAGACUAGAGGUAGGUAGGGGAGAAUGGAAUUCCCAGUGUAGAGGUGAAAUUCGUAGAUAUUGGGAAGAACACCGGUGGCGAAGGCGGCUCUCUGGACCGAUACUGACGCGUGAGGCGCGAAAGCGUGGGGAGCAACAGG